rnacentral:rRNA from 1 species
CCGUGAGGGAAAGAUGCAAAGAACUUUGAAAAGAGAGUUAAAGAGUACCUGAAAUUGCUGAAAGGGAAGCGAAGGAAACCAGUGUCGGCUUGGUCAUAUUUCCCUGUCCGCUUGCGGAUUGGGCGCUGUGUCCUGCCUGUGUUGUUCUUGGUUGGUUGUGCUGGAAGAGCGCAGUGAGAGUUGAUCAUUGUUGCUAUGCAGCGCAUCUGACCUGAGGAGGACGAAAUGGUUUUCUUUACCCCGUCUUGAAACACGGACCAAGGAGUCUAACAUAUGUGCGAGUACAGAGGUGGCAAACCUCCGUGCGUAAUGAAAGUGACAGUGGUUGGACAAUUUUGCACAAUCCGCCGGCCUCAAUCCCAUCGGGAGAACGGUCUGAGUGUGAGCAUACAUGUUGGGACCCUGAAGAUGGUGAACUAUGCCUGAAUAGGGUGAAGCCAGGGGAAACUCUGGU